rnacentral:lncRNA from 1 species
AGGACCAACCACAUUGAGCUCAGUCAUGGCACAUGCAGGGGGCCCCAGACAAAGGGAGCAGACAACCAGCAGCCCAACUAGGGAUCUACAGAGAAGGUUCUCCAGGGACUUGUCUGGGAUGACUGCUUUGAGGGCAAGAGGUAGCAAGAGCCCCCGAGCCCAGCAGCCCCAGCCCUAUGGCUCAGCACUGUCUGCCUGGGCUCCAGGCAGGCACGGGAGUGUCUCGGUGAGCUGGCUCCUGCGGCCACCCGGCUGCACAGGACCCUGGGGAGGGCUGUGAGUACACACUCAGGUCCUCCACGGCUCCCGAGACCGUGUGUCAAAGAUCCCUCGGGCCUUUAGCCAAGGCGAUAACCCUACACGCAGAGGCCAGGGUGGCCACGCGGCCCACCCUCUGGGAAAAAGAGCCCCAGACAUUCCAUGUGUUUCUCUUGUCCUUCAUUCCACCGGAGUCUGUCUCGUACCCAACCAGAUUUCAGUGGAGUGAAGUUCAGGAGGCGUGGAGCAGACACCGCGGCAGCAGCGGCCGCAGCAGCAGAGAGGAGCUCCGACUUAGGCAAAGAAAGGCCCAGGGAGGGAUGUGAGCGGUGCAGGAGACAUCUGGAGCGCAUCUCCUCCUGCGGAAGGGGGUGGGGUGGGGGGCGCGAUGGGCAGAUUGCAAAAAACACCACAGAUGGGAGCCGCUUAUUCCUCCUUGUCUAAAAUUGAUGCUUUGGAAAUGUGUGUUUUCUGUAACUUACAAAGAUUAAAAGUUGCCUGCCUGCUGGAAA